UAUGGACUUACCCUGAAGAGUCCCUAUAUUCCAAGACCCAACCCUCAGCCUACCAACUCUAUCAACACGUCUUCCUCUACCGCCCCUGAGGCCAAACCUUGGCCUCCCUCCUAACCCCGCCCUUUCUUCUUCCCUCACCCCCACAACAGCCCCUCGCCCCAACCCCCUCGGACAUGACCCUAUCUAACCAUCAACGCCCACAGCCACUACUACAAGAAAAUAUAAGAAAAUAUAAACAAUGGUAGUAACAAAGCAGCAGCAGGAAAUACAAGGCUCACACAAAUUAGAAGAAAUAAUCAAGAAACAAAACUAAACUCAAAUAGGUAUAAAAACAAAACCAAGGUAAGGACAAAACUAACAGUAAGAAAAAUAGAGCACACUAAUGGCCUGGCACCAAGGACAGCCAAACAAAUAAUAAGGAGCGGUGUAAGUCACGAAUAUACUACAGCAUACAUGCAAGUCAAGAUACAAGAGAUAGUACGAUAAAUAAUAUGAAGCAACAUAAGAGGU
rnacentral:lncRNA from 1 species